rfam:Schistosoma curassoni strain Dakar, Senegal genome assembly, scaffold: SCTD_contig0001002
AUCCAAUUGACGAGUCCCAAAUAAAACGAAAUACGCGUCCUGGAU